GCAGUCGACGGGAUAUUUUUGUAGCAAUACCGGAAUAUUCAGUGGCGAACGGGUGCGUAACACGUGGGUAACAUGCCGGGAAGAGGAGAAUAGCCCAGGGAAACUUGGAUUAAUGCUCCAUGUGGUCGCAAGACUAAAGACGGGGUAACCUGUCGCUUCCUGAUUGGCCCGCGGCCUAUCAGCUAGUUGGCGAGGUAACGGCUCACCAAGGCGACGACGGGUAGCUGGUCUGAGAGGAUGACCAGCCACACUGGAACUGAGACACGGUCCAGACACCUACGGGUGGCAGCAGUCGAGAAUCUUUCACAAUGGGGGCAACCCUGAUGGAGCGACGCCGCGUGGAGGAUAAGGUCUUCGGAUUGUAAACUCCUGUCAUGCGAGAGUAAGGCCCCGCGUUAACUGCGUGUGGGAUUGACAGUACCGCAAGAGGAAGAGACGGCUAACUCUGUGCCAGCAGCCGCGGUAAUACAGAGGUCUCAAGCGUUGUUCGGAAUUACUGGGCGUAAAGGGUGCGUAGGCUGCGCAGAAAGUCAGGUGUGAAAUCCAGGAGCUCAACUUCUGAAUUGCACCCGAUACUCCUGUGCUAGAGGACUGGAGAGGAGCUUGGAAUUCUCGGUGUACCAGUGAAAUGCGUACACAUCGAGAGGAACACUAGUGGCGAAGGCUGGGCUCUGGACAGUAUCUGACCCCUGA
rnacentral:rRNA from 1 species